UACGGGGGGGCAAGCGUUGUUCGGAAUUACUGGGCGUAAAGGGUUCGUAGGUGGCUUGCUAAGUCAGACGUGAAAUCCCUCGGCUCAACCGGGGAACUGCGUCUGAGACUGGCGGGCUUGAGUGCAGGAGAGGAACGCGGAAUUCCAGGUGUAGCGGUGAAAUGCGUAGAUAUCUGGAGGAACACCGGUGGCGAAGGCGGCGUUCUGGACUGCAACUGACACUGAGGAACGAAAGCCAGGGGAGCAAACGGG
rnacentral:rRNA from 1 species